rnacentral:rRNA from 1 species
UAAUACGUAGGGUGCGAGCGUUGUCCGGAAUUAUUGGGCGUAAAGGGCUCGUAGGCGGUUUGUCACGUCGGGAGUGAAAACUCGGGGCUCAACCCCGAGCUUGCUUCCGAUACGGGCUAACUAGAGGUAUGCAGGGGAGAACGGAAUUCCUGGUGUAGCGGUGAAAUGCGCAGAUAUCAGGAGGAACACCGGUGGCGAAGGCGGUUCUCUGGGCAUUACCUGACGCUGAGGAGCGAAAGUGUGGGGAGCGAACAGG